GGCCGCCUGGCGAAAUGGCAUCGCGUCUGACUACGAUACUACGCACUCGAAAUCAGGAGAUUGCAGGUUCGACCCCUGCGGUGGUCA
rnacentral:tRNA from 1 species